AAUUCUAAAAGUCAAACGCAAAGCAAAUCUCCACAACUUGAUAUAAAUUAAUUAAAAAUAUAAAAGCCAUGAUGAUGGGCUGCAUAAGGAAUGGAACGCAAACAGGAGGAGUUU